AAGAGCAGGUGGCUUAUCGCUCCCGGCCUCACGGUUGGGGGAGGAAAGUCCGGACACCAUAGUGCAGCAUAGCGGGUAACGCCCGUCAUCCUGAAGUGAAGCCCGCUUCUACUUCAGGGGAGGACCAGUGCAACAGAAAGGAUGUACAGUUAGGCUGUAGUGAAAUCAGGUAAACUCUAUGCGGUGAAACGCCAAAUAAGCCAACGCCUGAGGGCGGCACGUCCAAGUUGGCGGGUAGGCGGAUAGAACCUUGGGGUAACCCCGGGUCCAGAUAAAUGAUAAGCCUCGGCAGACUUACGUUUGCUGAAGUACAGAAUCCGGCUUAUAGCCUGCUCUUUAUU
rnacentral:RNase_P_RNA from 1 species